AUCCAUUCGGCGGUACAUAUACUAAAAUUGGAACGGUACAGAGAAGAUUAGCAUGGCCUCUGCGCAAGGAUGACACACACACAAAAUUUACAAAUGCGAUUAAU